UGGCUCAGAUUGAACGCUGGCGGCGUGCCUUACACAUGCAAGUCGAACGUGAAAGUACCUUCGGGUGCGAGUAAAGUGGCGCACGGGUGAGUAACGCGUGGAUAAUCUACCGAGAAGUUGGGAAUAACAGCUGGAAACGGUUGCUAAUACCGAAUACGCUACAUAUCUAUCUUAUGUAGGAAAGAUGGCCUCUGCAUAUGCUAUUGCUUUUUGAUGAGUCCGCGUACUAUUAGCUAGUUGGUGGGGUAAAGGCCUACCAAGGCGACGAUAGUUAACUGGUCUGAGAGGAUGAUCAGUCACACUGGAACUGGAACACGGUCCAGACUCCUACGGGAGGCAGCAGUGGGGAAUAUUGCGCAAUGGGCGAAAGCCUGACGCAGCGACGCCGCGUGAGGGAUGAAGGUCUUCGGAUCGUAAACCUCUGUCAGCAGGGAAGAAAGUUUUCUGUGCUAAUCAACAGGGAAUUGACGGUACCUGCAAAGGAAGCACCGGCUAACUCCGUGCCAGCAGCCGCGGUAAUACGGAGGGUGCGAGCGUUAAUCGGAAUUACUGGGCGUAAAGCGCUCGUAGGUAGUGUGUCAAGUCAAGGGUGAAAUCCCCGUGCUCAACAUGGGAACUGCCUUUGAAACUGGUAUACUUGAGUGUGUGAGAGGAUAGUGGAAUUCCAGGUGUAGGAGUGAAAUCCGUAGAUAUUUGGAGGAACAUCAGUGGCGAAGGCGACUAUCUGGCACAUAACUGACACUGAGGAGCGAAAGCGUGGGUAGCAAACAGGAUUAGAUACCCUGGUAGUCCACGCUGUAAACGAUGGAUACUAGGUGCUGGGGAGUAUUUUUCGGUGCCGUAGCUAACGCGUUAAGUAUCCCGCCUGGGGAGUACGGUCGCAAGGCUGAAACUCAAAGAAAUUGACGGGGGCCCGCACAA
rnacentral:rRNA from 1 species